UGAAUACGAGAUGCUACGGCGUCGAAGCAGUCUAUGUCAUACUUCCAAGAAAAGCUCGCACUGUCAUAAACAAAUAAUGCCUGUACCAUAACCGACACAGGUGGGUAGGUAGAGUAUACUAAGGGGCGCGAGAUAACUCUCUCUAAGGAACUCGGCAAAAUGACUCCGUAACUUCGGGAGAAGGAGUGCCUUAUUUAUAAGGUUGCAAUAACAAGAUCCAAGCAACUGUUUAUCAAAAACACAGGUCUCCGCUAAGUCGUAAGACGAUGUAUGGGGGCUGACGCCUGCCCAGUGCCAGAAGGUUAAAGAAGUUGGUUAGCAUUCGCGAACCUGAUAACUGAAGCCCUGGUGAACGGCGGCCGUAACUAUAACGGUCCUAAGGUAGCGAAAUUCCUUGUCGGGUAAGUUCCGACCCGCACGAAAGGCGUAAUGAUUUGGAUACUGUCUCGGAGAGGGGCUCGGUGAAAUAGACUUGUCUGUGAAGAUGCGGACUACCUGCACCAGGACAGAAAGACCCUAUGAAGCUUUACUGUAACUUGAGAUUGAAAUUGGACUUUACUUGCGCAGUAUAGGUGGGAGGCGUUGAUAAUAUUCUUGCGGGAUUAUUUGAGCCAUCAGUGAGAUACCACUCUUGUAAUGUUAGAUUUCUAACUUUGUAUCAUUAUCUGGUCAAAGGACAGUUUCAGGCGGGCAGUUUGACUGGGGCGGUCGCCUCCUAAACGGUAACGGAGGCGCACAAAGGUUUCCUCUGAACGGGUAGAAAUCGUAUCUAGAGUGUAAAGGCAUAAGGAAGCUUGACUGUGAGACCUACAAGUCGAGCAGGGACGAAAGUCGGUCUUAGUGAUCUGACGGUGCUGAGUGGAAAGGCCGUCACUCAACGGAUAAAAGUUACUCUAGGAUAACAGGCUGAUCUCCCCCAAGAGUUCACAUCGACGGGGAGGUUUGGCACCUCGAUGUCGGCUCAUCGCAUCCUGGGGCGGUAGUACGUCCCAAGGGUUGGGCUGUUCGCCCAUGAAAGCGGUACGCGAGCUGGGUUCAGAACGUCGUGAGACAGUUCGGUCCAUAUCCGGUGUAGGCGUUAGAAUAUUGAGAGGAGCCUUCUUUAGUACGAGAGGACCGAGAAGGACAUACCUCUGGUGUACCAGUUAUCGUGCCAACGGUAAACGCUGGGUAGCUAUGUAUGGAGUGGAUAACCGCUGAAAGCAUCUAAGUGGGAAGCCCACCUCAAGAUAAG
rnacentral:rRNA from 1 species